rnacentral:tRNA from 1 species
AGGGAUGUAGCUCAGUGGCAGAGCACUUGCCUAGCAUGUGUGAGGUGCUGGGUUCCAUCCCUA